rnacentral:rRNA from 1 species
CCUACGGGGGCUGCAGUGGGGAAUAUUGCACAAUGGGCGCAAGCCUGAUGCAGCGACGCCGCGUGAGCGAUGAAGGCCUUCGGGUCGUAAAGCUCUGUCCUAAGGGAAGAAUAAUGACGGUACCUUAGGAGGAAGCCCCGGCUAACUACGUGACAGCAGCCGCGGUAAUACGUAGGGGGCGAGCGUUAUCCGGAAUCACUGGGCGUAAAGGGUGCGUAGGCGGACCUGCAAGUCAGGAGUUAAAUCCCUAGGCUUAACCGUGGUCAGCUCUUGACACUGUAGUGAUUGAGGGCAGGAGAGGCAAGCGGAAUUCCUAGUGUAGCGGUGAAAUGCGUAGAUAUUAGGAUGAACACCAGUUGCGAAGGCUGCAUUCUGGACUGCAACUGACGCUGAGUCACGAAAGCGUGGGGAGCGAACAGGAUUAGAUACCCUAGUAGUC